UUGAAGUCCACUUCAGAGACAAAAACGAAACCGUAAGAAUUGUUUUUGAAGAUGGCGACGAAGGAUGGCAUGGUUUGAAGAUCAACUCAGGGUUCUAUGGUCGGUCCGUGACCCCUGGAUGCCGAAGGGUGAUCUCGUAGUUCCAAAGAUGGUUUACUAAUGAUUGAAUCAGCAACAACAUUUUAAGAAACAUUUUGGUCAUACCAUGGAUUAGAUAGAAUUGCAACUGACAACAUUUUAGACAUGACUGAAUUAAUUUUCUUGGUAGUCAUUUAUAAUCUCUGUAGGACUCAUGCCCAACACUAUGUUCAUUGGUAGAUUAUCUACUUGGGGAUUUUUAAUUAGAUUGUGUUCUCAAUUUUUAGUUAUCGAUAAUGUUCAGAUUUCAGUAAUUCAGGAUAACUGAAAUAUGUUGAUUUGAUAAAUCACUAUUUUUUCUUAGUUAAUUCAUAUGAGCCAGGAAAGAGACCUAACAACUCUUACUUCAUAUCUAAUGGCUUUCACGUAGAUACUUAUGCUGAAAUGUCCGAAUUUAUAACUACUUAAUUCACUGAUUAUGUGCAUGUGUGUAAUCAAAUUGAUCUCUCCUGUAGUCUUGAUAAGUAAUUGAGUAAAUUUCCCUGUAAUUUGGUCAGUGCCUUUAUGCAGCACUCUUUUAUGAUGGCUGAGAUGUGUAGUAGCAGUAUCACUCGGCAUCAUUAAAUAAGACUCCCAGAAUCCAAGUGUUUCCAACUUAAGUUAAGUAUUUGAAAAUGUAGAUUUUUGGCACAGAGGAUUGUCUGCUUCAUACCAAGUUUGAUUAAUUACUACCCUCCAAAUUUCCAGUUCUUCAACCCCCUUAACUCAAAAGAUCAAGUUUUACUUAAAAAGCUUUGUUUUUUUCUUUGUUUUAGGUUUUUUUUUGAAUCUUUGUAUAUGUAGUAGAUCUGUGAUUUCUGAUCUUUCUUGUUGUUGUUUUUCGUUAUUUUUUUUUUGUUGUUGUUGUUGAUUGCAGUAUGACAAGGGAUAAGAAGGCUAGGUAUGCCAGUGAGAGUAAAAAAGCUUAUAAAAAAAGGCAAAAGAAGAACAGAAAGGAAAAGGCUAGAUUACAGAAAUUCCAAAUCGAGGAAGAGGCUAAUGAAAUCGCUACAUCAGGAAGAAGUUGAGAUUAGUAAACUCGAGCACGACCCUUCCUCAAACAGUACUUGUGCAUCUAUCUCCGAAGAAGAUCUCGAAGAACUGAUGACUUCCAUCAAGAAAGAUCCAUAUUUGAAACCUAUUUUAGAAGAUUGGUGGUCCAAUCAUAAUGAUGAGGUACUUGAAUGAUCCAGAGGUUUUUCAGAAGUUCGCGCAGGCAAUGGGUUUUGGAGUUUUAGGAGACAAUGUUAGUCCGGUUGAAGAUAAUGCAUCGAAUGCUGUUGCAGAAGAUUAUACUGACAAAUAGGUUGAGGCAAUUCUUAUCAAUAAUUCGUUUUUUGAGCUAUUUCAUCUUUCCUUGUAUAUUGUAGCUUGUUUAAAAUGCAUAUAUUUUUGUGAGAGGAAUACUGACAGCACCAUGUCUGCCUGGUGCAAGAGCACCAUGCAUAUAUUACUUCCCUGGCAUUAAUUUUGCUUGAUUUGCACUAAUUUCUUAGACGACCUCGCAUGUUAAUUUUGAGAUCGGUUGAUUUUCUGGUUCA